GCCAGACGUGGUGGCGCAUGUCUGUAAUCCAAGCUACUUGGGAGGCUGAGGCAGGAGAAUUGCUUGAACCCAGGAGGCGGAGGUUGCAGUGAGCUGAGAUCGCGCCACUGCACUCCAGCCUGGGUGAUAGAGUGAGACUCUGUCUCAA
ensembl:misc_RNA Metazoa_SRP Metazoan signal recognition particle RNA